AACGAACGCUGGCGGCAUGCCUAACACAUGCAAGUCGAACGGGAUCCUGGCUUCGGCCAGGUGAGAGUGGCGGACGGGUGAGUAACGCGUGGGAACCUGCCCAUUGGUCUGGGAUAACUGCGGGAAACUGCAGCUAAUACCGGAUGUACCCGAGAGGGGAAAGAUUUAUCGCCGAUGGAGGGGCCCGCGUCAGAUUAGGUAGUUGGUGAGGUAACGGCUCACCAAGCCUACGAUCUGUAGCUGGUCUGAGAGGAUGAUCAGCCACACUGGGACUGAGAUACGGCCCAGACUCCUACGGGAGGCAGCAGUGGGGAAUAUUGGACAAUGGGGGGCGAACCCUGAUCCAGCAAUGCCGCGUGAGUGAUGAAGGCCUUAGGGUUGUAAAGCUCUUUUACCAGGGACGAUGAUGACGGUACCUGGAGAAUAAGCCCCGGCUAACUUCGUGCCAGCAGCCGCGGUAAU
rnacentral:rRNA from 1 species